GUGUCAGCAGCCGCGGUAAUACGGAGGGUGCAAGCGUUAAUCGGAUUUACUGGGCGUAAAGCGUGCGUAGGCGGCUUUUUAAGUCGGAUGUGAAAUCCCUGAGCUUAACUUAGGAAUUGCAUUCGAUACUGGGAAGCUAGAGUAUGGGAGAGGAUGGUAGGAUUCCAGGUGUAGCGGUGAAAUGCGUAGAGAUCUGGAGGAAUACCGAUGGCGAAGGCAGCCAUCUGGCCUAACACUGACGCUGAGGUGCGAAAGCAUGGGGAGCAAACAGGAUUAGAAACCCGGGUAGUCC
rnacentral:rRNA from 1 species